UACAGAGGGUGCAAGCGUUGUUCGGAAUUACUGGGCGUAAAGCGUGCGCAGGCGGUUCGCUAAGACAGAUGUGAAAUCCCCGGGCUUAACCUGGGAACUGCAUUUGUGACUGGCGGGCUAGAGUAUGGCAGAGGGGGGUAGAAUUCCACGUGUAGCAGUGAAAUGCGUAGAGAUGUGGAGGAAUACCGAUGGCGAAGGCAGCCCCCUGGGCCAAUACUGACGCUCAUGCACGAAAGCGUGGGGAGCAAACAGG
rnacentral:rRNA from 1 species